rnacentral:tRNA from 1 species
GCCGGGGUGGCGAAACGGGUAGACGCAAGGGACUUAAAAUCCCUCGGCCUUACGGCCAUGCGGGUUCGAGACCCGCCCCCGGCA